UUUGUCACAUCCCUCACGUGUUCUUGACUUUUUACAUUCUACACUAGCUUGUUUAUUGUUUGGUCUGUCUGGUUGCCAACCUACUCUCUUGGUUGCUUCAGCGUAUGUUAUCCCUUCUGAUGUUUUAAUUCUCUGUAUUUCUACAGCUCUCUUACUAGCCUCGCAUCCCCUGUAGGCCGAGUUGUGUUCUCCUCCACAGUUACAGCAUUUUAGCUUAGCUCCAUUUACGCAUUUCCCGUACUCAUGUUCACCACUGCAUCUUCCACACCUUUGUUUGCCCUUACAUACAGCUGCUACGUGUCCAUAUUUUUGACACUUAAAGCACCUCAGAGGUGGGGGAACAUAACGUUUGACAUCGUAGCACAUAUAACCUAUAUAUACCUUAGAUGGUAGACUUUCCUCAUCAAAAACAAUCAUAACAGAUGUAACGGAGUUAAAAAUGCACUUUAAUAAUUCUUAUUUCCAAAUUUUAUCUCAUUGAGUUAUUUUAUUUAUAUUUAUUUUUGCUAUUUUUUCUUGUGGAAAUGUAAACUCCGUCAUUCCUUAGCUGCACACUACCCCUUUUGUACCUCCUAAGCUUACGUAGUGCUCGUCUCCCUCAGUCGCGUCUUGCACCGCUGAGGCUAAGUUGUGUAGAAAAGUGCUGCUGGGUUUAUCUAUUGUUUUCUUUGGAAAUUGAACCAUUUACGUUAAAACUUUAAACACAAAUUGUGCAAUUUCAAUAUGGUUAUGUCACGUAGCAGUUUUGUAUCAGUGUGACCGUUAAAAUACGUUUUAUCAGUGUUUUCAUUUUAACUUUCUGGCGCCAGUUUUACCAGGCAGGCGGGCCGUGUCAUGUUACCUAUGUAACCUGUCGGAGUUUUCAGCGUCUUGUCACUUGUAAACGCUGUAUUUGUAUGUUUAGGAAGCAGAGGUAAUGUAAGAGGAGGCCAGGGGGCAAUUGAUGUGUGCAUUGUGUUCUGCAGAUGUGCGAGCCAAUAAAUCGUGGAAAAGAAGUGA